rnacentral:rRNA from 1 species
CCGCAUUCAGCUGUGCGCUCGUCAGCUUCGGCCGGUCGCCUCCAGAUUGGGGCGUCCAGCCGUUUGCUGGCGUGCUUGCAGUGCAUUUGCGGGUGGAGUGCGCCGAGACGCUCGGGGCAGCGGCACAAGCUCGGUUCAGAGGCCAACUUGUUUGGAACCCGUSCCGUGGGGAGUGCUGUUUGCUCUGGGUGAGCAGUUGGGCCGGUGGUUUCGGGCCCGGGUGGGUGCCGAGCCGGUGGUCGGUGSCGGUCGCAUGCGMCACGUACCGGCGCCCGGUUCGGUCCUGCUCGAGCUCUCAACCGUGCGUUCUCGGUGUAAAAGCCGGUCAUCUGUCCGACCCGUCUUGAAACACGGACCAAGGAGUUUAGCGUGUGCGCGAGUCAUUGGGCGUUGAAAACCCARCGGCGCAAUGAAAGUGAAGGUCUCCCUCGUUGGAKCUGACGUGUGAUCCUGGCCACCGCGGUGUGCCGGGCGCAACAUGGUCCCGUUCUGGCCGCAUGCGGCGGGGCGGAGACAGAGCGUACGCGCUGAGACCCGAAAGAUGGUGAACUAUUCCUGAGCAGGACGAAGCCAGAGGAAACUCUGGUGGAAGUCCGAAGCG